rnacentral:rRNA from 1 species
ACGAACGCUGGCGGCAUGCCUAACACAUGCAAGUCGAACGAGACCUUCGGGUCUAGUGGCGCACGGGUGCGUAACGCGUGGGAACCUGCCCUUAGGUUCGGAAUAACUCCCCGAAAGGGGUGCUAAUACCGGAUAAUGUCUUCGGACCAAAGAUUUAUCGCCUUUGGAUGGGCCCGCGUUGGAUUAGCUAGUUGGUAGGGUAAAAGCCUACCAAGGCGACGAUCCAUAGCUGGUCUGAGAGGAUGAUCUGCCACACUGGGACUAAGACACGGCCCAGACUCCUACGGGAGGCAGCAGUGGGGAAUAUUGGACAAUGGGCGAAAGCCUGAUCCAGCAAUGCCGCGUGAGUGAUGAAGGCCUUAGGGUUGUAAAGCUCUUUUACCCGGGAUGAUAAUGACAGUACCGGGAGAAUAAGCUCCGGCUAACUCCGUG